UACGUAGGGGGCAAGCGUUAUCCGGAUUUACUGGGUGUAAAGGGAGCGUAGACGGCAGAGCAAGUCUGAAGUGAAAGCCCGCGGCCCAACUGCGGGACUGCUUUGGAAACUGCCCGGCUAGAGUGCUGGAGAGGUAAGCGGAAUUCCUAGUGUAGCGGUGAAAUGCGUAGAUAUUAGGAGGAACACCAGUGGCGAAGGCGGCCUGCUGGACGAUGACUGACGUUGAGGCUCGAAAGCGUGGGGAGCAAACAGG
rnacentral:rRNA from 1 species